rnacentral:rRNA from 1 species
UCCCAGACUCCUACGGGAGGCAGCAGUGGGGAAUAUUGGGCAAUGGGCGCAAGCCUGACCCAGCAACGCCGCGUGAAGGAAGAAGGCUUUCGGGUUGCAAACUUCUUUUGACAGGGAAGAGCAGAAGACGGUACCUGUCGAAUAAGCCACGGCUAACUACGUGCCAGCAGCCGCGGUAAUACGUAGGUGGCAAGCGUUGUCCGGAUUUACUGGGUGUAAAGGGCGUGUAGCCGGGCUGACAAGUCAGAUGUGAAAUCCGGGGGCUCAACCCCCGAACUGCAUUUGAAACUGUUGGUCUUGAGUAUCGGAGAGGCAGGCGGAAUUCCUAGUGUAGCGGUGAAAUGCGUAGAUAUACGGAGGAACACCGGCGGCGAAGGCGGCCUGCUGGACCGCGACUGACGUUGAGGCUCGAAAGCGUGGGGAGCGAACAGGAUUAGAUACCCCUGUA